AGCAACCACCACAACAGCUGCUGCAACUACCACAGCAGCUGCUGCAACCACCCAAACUGCUGCUGCAACUACCACAACAGCUGCAGCAACUACCACAACAGCACCCACAGCAGCUCCCACCACUACCACAACAGCACCCACAACAGCUCCAGAAACUACCACAACAGCUGCUGCAACAGCUCCCACCACUACCACAACAGCACCCACAACAGCUCCAGAAACUACCACAACAGCUGCUGCAACUACCACAGCUCCCAUAACAGCACCCACAACAGCAACUACAGCGACUACAACAACCACAGCUGCUGCAACCACCACAACAGUUCCCAUAACAGCUGCAGCACUUACCACAACAGCACCCACAAUGGCCCCCACAACAGCAACUACAACUACCACAACAGCUCCAGCAACUACCACAACAGCUGCAGCAACUACCACAACAGCUCCCACCACUACCACAAACGCGCCCGCAACAGCUGUUGCAACUACCACAACAGCUGCUGCAACUACAACAACGGCACCCACAACAGCUCUCACCACUACCACAACAGCUCCCACCACUACCACAACAGCUACCACAACAGCUGCUGCAACUACAACGACAGCCCCAACAGCUACCACCACUACCACAAAAGCCCCUACAACAGCUGCAGCAACUACCACAACAGCACCCAUAACAGCUGCAGCACUUACCACAACAGCUACCACCACUACCACAACAGCACCCACAAUGGCCCCCACAACAGCAACUACAACUACCACAACAGCUCCAGCAACUACCACAACAGCUGCAGCAACUACCACAACAGCUCCCACCACUACCACAGACGCACCCACAACAGCUCUCACCAUUACCACAACAGCUCCCACCACUACCACAACAGCUACCACAACAGUUGGUGCAACUACAACGACAGCCACAACAGCACCCACAACAGCUACCACCACUACCACAAAAGCCCCUACAACAGCUGCUGCAACUAUCACAACAGCUGCGGCAACUACCACAACAGCCACCACAACAACCACCACGACCACCACAACAGCCCCCACAACAACCACCACGACCACCACAACAAAACCCACAACAACAACAACUACAACAACAACAGCUGCAACAAACCGUCCACGCUACAU
ensembl:lncRNA